GAUGAACGCUGGCGGCGUGCCUAAUACAUGCAAGUCGAGCGAACGGACGAGAAGCUUGCUUCUCUGAUGUUAGCGGCGGACGGGUGAGUAACACGUGGAUAACCUACCUAUAAGACUAGGAUAACUUCGGGAAACCGGAGCUAAUACCGGAUGAUAUUUUGAACCGCAUGGUUCAAAAGUGAAAGACGGUCUUGCUGUCACUUAUAGAUGGAUCCGCGCUGCAUUAGCUAGUUGGUAAGGUAACGGCUUACCAAGGCAACGAUGCAUAGCCGACCUGAGAGGGGGAUCGGCCACACGGGAACUGAGACACGGUCCAGACUCCUACGGGAGGCAGCAGUAGGGAAUCUUCCGCAAUGGGCGAAAGCCUGACGGAGCAACGCCGCGUGAGUGAUGAAGGUCUUCGGAUCGUAAAACUCUGUUAUUAGGGAAGAACAUAUGUGUAAGUAACUGUGCACAUCUUGACGGUACCUAAUCAGAAAGCCACGGCUAACUACGUG
rnacentral:rRNA from 1 species